rnacentral:rRNA from 1 species
UACGAAGGGGGCUAGCGUUGCUCGGAAUGACUGGGCGUAAAGGGUUCGUAGGCGGUGCGGUAAGUCGGAAGUGAAAUCUCUGGGCUUAACUCAGAGGCUGCUUUCGAAACUGCCGUGCUAGAGUGCGGGAGAGGCGAGUGGAAUUGCAGGUGUAGCGGUGAAAUGCGUAGAUAUCUGCAGGAACACCCGUGGCGAAGGCGGCUCGCUGGACCGCAACUGACGCUGAGGAACGAAAGCUAGGGGAGCAAACAGG